AUGCUCCAACGCGAACCUCACCAUCGCCACUUGUCACUAUCGCCGGGAGCAACAAGAAGUGCCGACUCCUCCUCCUCCUCCUCCUCCUCCUCCUCCUCCUCCUUCUCGUCCAUAUGCCGAAUGUUAAGAUUCUUUGGCCCGAUUAGCUCCGCGACCGCUAGACUCUCGAUCUUCGGGAGGUUCAUCUCAUGCGCCGAAAUGCCACACGGCGAUAUCAUACGCACACGCGGCCAUGUUGACAGAGUCGAACAUGUCGAUCUAGUAGCUAUAGCCAUCGCACUGGAACUCCACAUCAAAUUUCCUCAUCACCCUGAAGGAACCGGUCUUGCUCUUGGAGAUUUUCUUCGGCGACCGAGCGUCGAGACGAGCACCGGUAGCCGGCGUCGAGGCAAGGAGCGGGGCGGCGGCCGAGCUUCAGAUUGA
rnacentral:rRNA from 1 species